AUUGAAUAAUACCAGAUUCUGGAUCCCGGUUUUCAUGCUCUGCAUAUGAAAUGCUUUGCCUUCAUGAGUGGAAUAAACGUAAACAGCAUAUAAAUACAAUAUAUAUAUAUAUAUAUAUAUAUAUAUAUAUAUAUAUAUAUAUAUAUAUAUAUGUACACACAUCAUACGAAUAAUUAAAUAUAUGUGCA